UAGGUUAACGAGGCGAACCGGGGGAACUGAAACAUCUAAGUACCCCGAGGAAAAGAAAUCAACCGAGAUUCCCCCAGUAGCGGCGAGCGAACGGGGAGCAGCCCAGAGUCUGAAUCAGCUUGUGUGUUAGUGGAACGGUCUGGAAAGUCCGACGGUACAGGGUGAUAGUCCCGUACACCAAAAUGCACAGGCUGUGAACUCGAAGAGUAGGGCGGGACACGUGGUAUCCUGUCUGAAUAUGGGGGGACCAUCCUCCAAGGCUAAAUACUCCUGACUGACCGAUAGUGAACCAGUACCGUGAGGGAAAGGCGAAAAGAACCCCGGCGAGGGGAGUGAAAAAGAACCUGAAACCGUGUACGUACAAGCAGUGGGAGCACCUUCGGGUGUGACUGCGUACCUUUUGUAUAAUGGGUCAGCGACUUAUAUUCUGUAGCAAGGUUAACCGUAUAGGGGAGCCGCAGGGAAACCGAGUCUUAACUGGGCGUUAAGUUGCAGGGUAUAGACCCGAAACCCGGUGAUCUAGCCAUGGGCAGGUUGAAGGUUGGGUAACACUAACUGGAGGACCGAACCGACUAAUGUUGAAAAAUUAGCGGAUGACUUGUGGCUGGGGGUGAAAGGCCAAUCAAACCGGGAGAUAGCUGGUUCUCCCCGAAAGCUAUUUAGGUAGCGCCUCGUGAAUUCAUCUUCGGGGGUAGAGCACUGUUUCGGCUAGGGGGUCAUCCCGACUUACCAACCCGAUGCAAACUACGAAUACCGAAGAAUGUUAUCACGGGAGACACACGGCGGGUGCUAACGUCCGUCGUGAAGAGGGAAACAACCCAGACCGCCAGCUAAGGUCCCAAAGUCAUGGUUAAGUGGGAAACGAUGUGGGAAGGCACAGACAGCCAGGAUGUUGGCUUAGAAGCAGCCAUCAUUUAAAGAAAGCGUAAUAGCUCACUGGUCGAGUCGGCCUGCGCGGAAGAUGUAACGGGGCUAAACCAUGCACCGAAGCUGCGGCAGCGACACUAUGUGUUGUUGGGUAGGGGAGCG
rnacentral:rRNA from 1 species